rnacentral:rRNA from 1 species
UACGUAGGGUGCAAGCGUUAAUCGGAAUUACUGGGCGUAAAGCGUGCGCAGGCGGUUUUGUAAGCCAGAUGUGAAAUCCCUGGGCUUAACCUGGGAAUGGCACUUGGGACUGCAAGGCUUGAGUGCGGCAGAGGAGACUGGAAUUCCUGGUGUAGCAGUGAAAUGCGUAGAUAUCAGGAGGAAUACCGAUGGCGAAGGCAGGUCUCUGGGCUGACACUGACGCUCAUGCACGAAAGCGUGGGGAGCAAACAGG